rnacentral:rRNA from 1 species
CCCUUCGAUGUCCCCGGCCGCACGCGCGCUACAAUGGCCGAGCCCACGAGUAACCAGGCGAUUGGCAGUGUACAUCCACUACGUCGCUCACCCUUUGAGAGAAUGGGUGUAAUCUCUUGAAACUCGGUUAUGAUUUGGGAUAGAGCUUUGUAACUCUGGCUCUUGAACGAGGAAUUCCUAGUAGGCGCACGUCAUCAACGUGUGCCGAUUACGUCCCUGCUCUUUGUACACACCGCCCGUCGCUACUACCGAUUGAGUGCCUGGGCAAGACGUUUAGAGCGGAGCUUCAUUGCCUGCAAAAUUCGUCAAACCCCGUCACUUAGAGGAAGUAAAAGUCGUAACA